AACGAACGCUGGCGGCGCGCUUAACACAUGCAAGUCGAACGAGAAGGCGUAGCAAUACGCUUGUACAGUGGCGAACGGGUGAGUAAUACGUGGGCGACCUACCCUCGAGUGGGGAAUAACCCGCCGAAAGGCGGGCUAAUGCCGCGUACGCUUCCAUCUUUAUGGAGGUGGAAGGAAAGCCGUGCCGUGGGCACGGCGCUCAAGGAUGGGCUCACGUCCUAUCAGCUUGUUGGAGGGUAACGGCCUACCAAGGCUCCGACGGUAGCUGGUCUGAGAGGACGAUCAGCCACACUGGCACUGCGACACGGGCCAGACUCCUACGGGAGGCAGCAGUGAGGAGUAUUGCGCAAUGGGCGAAAGCCUGACGCAGCGACGCCGCGUGGGGGAUGAA
rnacentral:rRNA from 1 species